CAGGCUAAUGUUCUUUUAAUGUGCUAUCUUCAAAUAUAGUGCCUUGGAGGGUUAUGUGUGUCCUUAUAAAUAAAGCAAAAGCCAGAAAUGCCAAAGUAUAAAUGGACAACACUGAACUCCUUAAGAUGGCAAAAGGCAGGCAGUAUAGUUUGUUUUCAUGAUGUGUGAUUCCCAGGAGCCUCAGCAGAUUUCAGCAGGGGAAACCUACCAGAGAAGUCCUCUUGGCUGCAGAUUACAAGAUCUUUAAGGAGCUCUGUAGAAGUAGAGAAGGGUUAUUAAAAAGAGAUUACUUCCAGGCUGUGACAAACUUGUCGGCACAAGCUAAAAGUGACUUUUCAGAUGUUUACAACGAGUUUGAUAAGAUUUUUAGAAGGACAUCAUUAAGCACCUCUUCAGCACUGAGGGCUGACAAGGUCGUAGGAGUGCUGCGAAAGAGACGCAUCAAGGAAUUGAUCUCUGGUUUUCACAUGCCAGUAAAAGUUAGGACAGCAUCCUCAACAGCAGGUGACCUGGAUUCAGCUAAAGGAGGGUUCAGCAUCCAUUUCCUGAAGGUGAGAAGAAUUUAUUCAGAAUAAUGCGAGGUAAGACACUCUUCCUAGAAGUAGCUGCAUGUGUGUACAAUAAUUUAAAAGUCAUUAGAUGGAAAGAGGGAGCUGUCAGUUAUGCCACAUAGUACAGCCUAGUGACUGAAGUUCUUCCUACAAGAAAGAAAGCCUGUUUUUCUUGUGAGUGCCAGGGUCCUCCCUGGAUUUUAUCUUAUAAUGGUUUCUUCACUGUCUUUUGUAAUUAAAAAGAAAAACAAACAAACAAACAAAUGUGCUCACUUUUCUUCAUCCCUUCUCAACACAUCAUGUCUUAAAUUUUUAUUCCGUUUACUUUUUAAGAUUAUAACACAAUCCAAACAUAUUUAGGGUGAAUUCUUUUUGAACUAAAUCUGCCUGAUUCCUUUGUGAGAAUGGAUGGGGGCCCCCUGCAUAGGAUAAAAAUCCCUUAAAACAAAAAGGGAUUUUUAUCCCUUUAAUAAAAAGGGAUACAAAUUCUGCCUUAUAGAUCCU
rnacentral:lncRNA from 1 species